rnacentral:lncRNA from 1 species
UUCAGUUCAUGGUGAAGGGUUCCAAUCCCCCCAAAAAUUGGGAACAACUUGUAGCAACUCUGCAGAUGAAACUGACUCUGCAUCUGAUCCUUCAAAUCCUCUCCUAUCUGCUGAACAAGUCCUUUCAGUUGAAACUUGUGGCAACAAAGCCCUUGUGUGUUCAGCUCAUGGUGAAGGGUUCCAAUCCCCUCAAAAAUUUGGAACAACUUGUAUUAAAUCUGCAGAUGAAACUGACUGUGCAUCUGAUCCUUUGAAUCCUCCCCUGUAUGCUGAACAAGUCCUUUUAGUUGAAACUUGUGAGAUCAAAACACCUGCUUGUUCAGUUCAUGGUGAAGGGUUCCAAUCUCCCCAAAAAUUGGGAACAAGUUGUAGUAACUCCGCAGAUGAAACUGACUGUGCGUCUGAUCCUUUGAACCCUCUCCUGUCUGCUGAACAAGUCCUUCCAGUUGAAACUUGUGAGAACAAAGCACCUGCUUGUUCAGUUCAUUGUGAAGGGUUCCAACCCCUGGAAAAAUUGGGAACAAGUUGUAGUAACUCUGCAGAUGAAACUGACUCUGCAUCUGAUCCAUUGAAUCCUCUCCUGUCGACUGAACAAGUCCUUCCAGUUGAAACUAAUGAGAACAAAGCACCUGCUUGUUCAGUUCAUGGUGAGGGGUUCCAAUCCCCUGAAAAAUUGGGAAAAACUUGUAGUGACUCUGCAGAUGAAACUGGCUGUGCAUCUGAUCCUUUGAAUCCUCUCCCAUCUGCUGAACAAGUCCUUUCAGUUGAAACUUGUGAAAACAAGGC